ACAGAAGUCAACAAUUUAGGUUUGGAAACCUCCACCUAGAUUUCAGAGAAUGUAUGAAAAUGCCUGGAUGCCCAGGCAGAAGUUUACUGCAGGGGUGGCGUCCUCAUGGAGAACCUCUGCUAGAUAGGGCAGUGUGGAAAGGAAAUAUGGGGUUGGAGGCACCACAAAGAGUCUGCACUGGGACACUGCCUAGUUGAGCUGUGAGAAGAGGGCGACCAUUCUCUAGUCCCCAGAAUGGUAGAUCCACAAACAUCUUGCAGUCACUCAAUGCCAGCCUGUGAAAGCAGCUGGAAAGACACCACUAGUGAAAUUGCAGGAUGGAAGGAUAAUUCUAUUUUCAGUUUUUUAAGAAAUCUCCAUACUGUUUUCUAUAGAGGUCGUACUAACUUACAGGCCCACCAACAGUGUCAGAGUCUCACCCCGUCACUCAAGCUGAUGUGUAAUGGCACAAUCACAGCUCACUGCAGCCUCAAACUCCUGGGGUCAGGCUGUCCCCCAUCUCAGCCUCAGGUGUGGCUAGGACACAGGCAGGCAACAUCAUGCCGAGAGAAUUUUAAAAAAUUUUUGUAGAGACAAUAUCUCGCUAUGUUGCCUAGGUUAGUCUCAAAUGCCUGACCCUAAGAGACCCUCCUAUCCCAGCCUUCCUCCGAAAGCACUGGGAUUAUAAGCCUGAGCCACCAAGCUCAGCUACAUAUAUUAAUUUUUGAUCCAUUUGUUUUAUCCAUUAUUGAGGGGGGACAAUUAAAAUUUCCAGCUAGCUGUGUGAAUUUUUCCAUUCCUUCAAACAAUUUUAUUAGUUUUUGUUUCUGUAUUUAUAAGUCUAAGUGCUUGAAUAUUUAGUGUUGUUGAUUUUCUUGAUGAAUUCACCCACUUAACAUGACUGCCUCUCAAAUCCUGUGUAAUUUGGAAAAAGCUAAAAUGUAUUUUUUAUAAUAUGUUGGCACUCCAGCUUAUUUAUGAUUAUGUACAAUAUAUAUUUUCCAUUAUUUUAUGUUUAAAUAUGUGUAUUUUUAAUUAAUGUGGUGUUCUUGAAAACCACACAUUUUGGGGUGUUCAUUUUUCUCCAAUUUAAAAAUCUUUGCUUUCCAAUUAGUGUUUACUACAUUUAUAAGUAAUGUAAAUAUUGAUAUUAUUUAUUUGACCUUAUUGCUAUUAUUAUUCAGUGUAACCAUCCAUUCUUUUUCUAUUUUUCCCUCUCCUCCUGACUUUUUUUGAAUGAAUACUGUAUUAGUUUGCUAUGGCAGCCAUAACAGAGUACCAUAGACUAGGUGGCAUAAACAGCAGAAAUUUACUUCUAGUCUUGGAGGAUAGAAGUCUGAGAUCAGGGUGUCAGCAGCACUGGUUUCUUCUGAGGCCUCUCUCUUUGGCUUGUAGACAUCCAUCUUCUCCUUGUGUCUUCACAUGAUCUUACCUCUGGGCAUGUUUGUAUUCUUAUUUUUACUUACGUGGAUAUCAGUCAUAUUGGAUUAGGGCCCACUAUAAUGACAUUAUUUAAAUUUACUUACCUUUUUAAAUAAUCUAUCUCCAAAUACAGUCACAUUCUGAGGUAGUGAGGGUUACAACAUCAACAUAUAAAUUUUGGAGGGAUAUAGUUUUACCCAUACAAUAUAUAUAUAUAUAUAUUUAGGAUAUAUAUAUAUAUGUGUAUAUAUAUAUAUAUAUCUUUAGGAUUCCAUUUAAUUUUUUCUAUUACAUUUUUUACUACCUCACAAUAUGUAAUUUAUUUCUUCAUUUUUAACCUAUAAUUUAACAUUUACAUAUUUAUCUUACCAUACCUUCAAUUAAUAUUUUCCUAACUUAAUAUAAGACAAUAAAACAAGGGUCUUUUAUUUCUCUUCUCUGUCAGUUAUACUCUAGCUGUUAGAUAAUACUUUGCGUGUGUUAGAAACUUCAAAUACAUUGUUAUUUUUGCUUCAAAAUGUAUUGAGAUGAUGGUCAAUACAAAACCUCAGGCAGAAAGUGCAUAUAUUUUUGAGUUAUGUUGCACAGCGUGGUGAAUAUAGUUAGUAAUAAUAUUGUACAUUUAAAAAUUGCUAAGAGUGGUAAAUUUCAAUGUUCUUAUUGCAAAAAAUUGUUAAAUAUUUGAGGUUACAGAUGUGUUGACUUUAAUUAUUCCACAUUAUAUUUAUAAAUCAUAACAUCACUUUGUACCCCAUAUAUUUAUACAGUUAUAAAUCAUCAAUUUACCAUAAAAUAAUUGCUUUUAAAUAAAAAAUAAAAUGAUAGAUAUUUCUCUUAAAACUAAGCUUUUUUUUACACACAUUAGUGCAGUAAUCAUGUUAAUAAUAGCAUUUUAUAGACUUUGUCUAAUUUCAGCAUCCCUACUAUGGAUGGUAGGGCAUAAUAACUAAUAAUAAGAAAGAAAACGGCCAGAUGCAGUGGCUCACACUUGUAACUCCAGCACUUUGGGAGGCCUAGGUAGACUUAUCACAACAUCAGGAGUUCAAGACCAGCCUGGCCAACAUGGUGAAACCCCAUCUCUACUAAAAAUACGAAAAAUUAGCCGGAUGUCGUGGCGGGCACCUGCAAUCCCAGCUACUCAGGAGGCUGAGGCAGGAGAAUCACUUGAACCUGGGAGGUGGAGCUUGCAGUGAGCCGAGAUUGCACCGCUGCACUCUAGCCUGGGCAACUGAGCGACACUCCAUCUCAAAAAAAACAAAAACAACAACAAAAAAAAAAAGAAGAGAGAGAGAGAGAAAGAGAAUACGAGUGAAGUAAGCAAACAAUGGUAUGGAGGUGGAAUUUCACAAUAACUUAGUAUUUAGCAUAAGUUCAAGGAGAACAUCAUACUGAUUUCUGGAGCUCCUUCAUUGCAUGUCACCCUUCUCUGUGUUAUAUGCCUAACAGAUUACAGUCAUUCUUCACAAAAUGUGGUCUUUGUCCUAUCAAGUAAAUAGGACCACCAUGUCUUACUCCCCAUCCCAUGAACCAAAAUGUGUUUCUAGGCAGAAAAUCACCAUAGAGCUCACUUCAAUAGUUUUCUUUCUUUUGGGGAUCACAGUCUGUGCUGAAUCUUCUUCAAUGCCCUCUCCAGCGGAAACUGUUGUUUUAUAUUUUGUGUGGGAAAUUUCGUUUGUUUAUUGUGGUAAGUUAAUUCUAAUUUAUUAUGAUUGAUUCAUGAUGGUUGAUAAGAGCUACUAAAAAUAAAUCUUCAAGCAUUUUAACAAUUAAAUUAAGUAUAACACUGCACUAUUUUCCCAAGAUGAUGAAUGUAAA
rnacentral:lncRNA from 10 species